CGCACUGUGACCAGCCACCUCAGCAUGGCGAUUCUAUCUCUAUUCUUCCAAGAAACGACAAAGCUCUUUCUUUCCCACUCGACAUGUCUUCUACCCGAGCAUGGCGCGAGCUGUAGACUCGCGUUUCUAUCAAGAGAAAGACUUUCCAUAGCAACGGAUAAGUAGCUAGUGAUGGGUCGUUCUGCGAUGAAUUUACGUUUAGUUAGCCAAAAAAAAUGUGUCAAUGCACUAUUUUUCACGCAUGAACCUAUACAUAAACUCACGUAACUCAAAGUAACAACAAAACGUAUUCAUCGAACUUAUUUUUUAUCUGUGGAACUAAAAUGGUACAUGUUUGUUUGUUUACAAAAAACGAUUAUUGUUGUUGAUUUUAAGUAUUUAAAUAUUGGUGAUUACUGCGUGCGGCAAGGAAAAACGUACGAAGUCCCAUCCAAUAAACAGAGAAGAUAGUAUCCCGAUCCAUUGGGAAAAGAAGGCCACGAUAAAGAAGAAUAGGUCCGUAUUAAAACGCUGCUGAAAAAAUAUGGAAAAGAACGAGUUCUUGGCAUACAAUGUUGACACGAGAAUCAUUCUUUUAAUUACAAAAAAAGGAUGCUAAAUGACAACUGGGUCGUCAGUUUACAAAUUAUAAAUUAUUGAAAUGAUAUCAUUUAAUAAAGAAUGUGAAUAUUAAAAUCAUAAUGGUUGUUUAUUUAAAAUGUCAUUUUUUUCUUAGCAGAUAAAACUGUCCAAUUCUAGAGUCAUAUAGCCUGCGCAGUUUGUUCUUAAUGAGAGAACUAUUGAAAACUGAUUGUUUAUGAACUCUGUCAGGAUAAUUGGCAUUUAUGUUCAGUAUUUUGCACUCAGUAUCUACAAUCUCAAAUAGAGGUUAUAUCUAAUAUUAGGUAUCAUCAUCAUCAUCUCAGCCAUAGGACGUCCACUGCUGAACAUAGGCCUCCUCCUUUGAUCUCCACAGAUACCUGUUGGAAUAUAUUAGGUAUACUAACCUUGU